UACGGAGGAUGCAAGCGUUAUCCGGAUUCAUUGGGUUUAAAGGGUGCGCAGGCGGAAUGAUAAGUCAGUGGUGAAAUCUCCCGGCUCAACCGGGAAACUGCCAUUGAUACUGUUAUUCUUGAGUACAGUUGAAGUGGGCGGAAUGUGUCAUGUAGCGGUGAAAUGCUUAGAUAUGACACAGAACACCGAUAGCGAAGGCAGCUCACUAAGCUGUAACUGACGCUCAUGCACGAAAGCGUGGGGAUCAAACAGG
rnacentral:rRNA from 1 species